rnacentral:rRNA from 1 species
CCCUUAGAUGUUCUGGGCCGCACGCGCGCUACACUGAUGCAUUCAACGAGCCUAUCCUUGACCGACAGGUCCGGGUAAUCUUUGAAUCUGCAUCGUGACGGGGAUAGAUUAUUGCAAUUAUUAAUCUCCAACGAGGAAUGCCUAGUAGGCGCAAGUCAUCAGCUUGCGUCGAUUACGUCCCUGCCCUUUGUACACACCGCCCGUCGCUCCUACCGAUUGGGUGUGCUGGUGAAAUGUUCGGAUCGGCCGUUUGUCGCGGUUUCCGCGUCAUGUGGCUGAGAAGUUCAUUAAACCCUCCCACCUAGAGGAAGGAGAAGUCGUAACA